UUGGAGGGCAAGUCUGGUGCCAGCAGCCGCGGUAAUUCCAGCUCCAAUAGCGUAUAUUAAAGUUGUUGCAGUUAAAAAGCUCGUAGUUGAAUUUCGGGAUCAGUACGCUGGUCGUGCCUUCGGUAUGCACUGGUGUCACUGGUUCCUCCCUUCUGACGAACCGUCAUGCCAUUCACUUGGUGUGGCGGGAAAUCAGGACUGUUACUUUGAAAAAAUUAGAGUGUUUAAAGCAGGCUUUCGCUUGAAUACAUUAGCAUGGAAUAAUGAAAUAGGACGUUUGAUUCUAUUUUGUUGGUUUCUAGGAUCGACGUAAUGAUUAAUAGGGAUAGUUGGGGGCAUUAGUAUUCAAUUGUCAGAGGUGAAAUUCUUGGAUUUAUUGAAGACUAACUACUGCGAAAGCAUUUGCCAAGGAUGUUUUCAUUAAUCAAGAACGAAAGUUAGGGGAUCGAAGACGAUCAGAUACCGUCGUAGUCUUAACCAUAAACUAUGCCGACUAGGGAUCGGAUGAUGUUAAUUUUUUAAUGACUCAUUCGGCGCCUUACGGGAAAC
rnacentral:rRNA from 1 species